rnacentral:rRNA from 1 species
GACAGAGGGUGCAAACGUUGUUCGGAAUUACUGGGCGUAAAGCGCGUGUAGGCGGCUCGGCAGGUCGGGUGUGAAAGCCCUGGGCUUAACCUAGGAAGUGCACUCGAAACUGCCAAGCUUGAGUUCUGGAGAGGAAGGCGGAAUUCUCGGUGUAGAGGUGAAAUUCGUAGAUAUCGAGAGGAACACCGGUGGCGAAGGCGGCCUUCUGGACAGCAACUGACGCUGAGACGCGAAAGCGUGGGGAGCAAACAGG